CCUUACAUUUUCAUGAAAUUCUCUUGUCUGUGUAUUAUAGUAUUGUGUAUGCUAUUUAAAGGUUGUAUUGAAAUCCUAUUGUUUAAUAGACUAAAAAUAUGUUCUUUACGUUAAGGAUGCAUAAUUUUUUAUGGGUUUUACUUUUUAUUUAAUUCUUAAAAGCUUUUCCAUUCUAUGUUCACAAUCUACGAAAAAUUAUUCUUUUUCCAACUAUUGCAGUAUUUCACAAUUUUUUUCUUCUGUUGAAUAAAACAGAACAAAAAGCACAUAAUUAAGAAGAGGAGUUAUAAAAUUUUCUUUAAUUAAUAUAAGUCUAAUUUUAAAUAAAUAUAUUUUUUAACCUUUUUUCCCCUAUAAUUUGUCAUAUUUGUAAUAUUUUUUUUAAAAAAAUAGUCCAUUUUCGACAUUGCAAAGAAAAGGGAUUUUUCAAAAGAUAAACGUUUUUCAUUUUAUGUAGCUUUUCUACUAUUUAUUUUAAAAUAUUUUUUAUAAUUAAUGUAAGGUUAAUAAAGGAUAUAUUUAAAUGUUUAUGCAUGUACAAGUGGAUUACAACCUAGAAACAUUUAAAAAAAUCUUUCAUGAGCCUUUUUGAAAUUUUAAAUGUUUUAAUUUUUUAUUACAUUUAACUAGUAAGUUGUCCUGUUUUAACAUCUACAUACAUAUUUCUUCAAUCUUUCUGUACCUCUUUUUAAAUUAUUUCCGGCUGUAGCCACUCAUAUAAAGGAAGUCUAUAUGAGUAAAAUAAAAUCAUGUACAUGUUUGGUGAACUUAGGUCGUUUAGGUCUCUUUAAUAAAUAGGUAUCUUGUGAAAACCGGAGAAAAGAAACCUUAGUUGAAACGAGAGUGUAAUUUAUUCUCUAGUUUAUAUCUGGUAGAGACUGGGGUGCAGGUGCCUAAUCCUUCAUAGCAAUGUACAUCAUGCUAAUCAGGCAUAUUCUUGAAUAUGAAUUUCCAGUACCUCUCCUUCCGAACUUCUUAAAUUAGAUCAUGUUCAAUCAAGUGCAGCUGCAUCAUCACAGGCUUAAGAAACAGCUGCCUGAAUGCUGUAGCGCUUAAUAAGAAUGAUUUACCUCCCUUAAGUCUUCUAAGAGAAUCAAACGUGGUAAAAUACUUCAAACUAAAGUGAUGAAAAUCAAAAUUGAACCUCUGCCUAUUUAUCUGAAUGAAAAAACAGUCAAAGAUUAAAAAAGAGCAGCCCUUUCGGUCAGAGGUAUAAUAUAAAGGUCUUUAACAAUCCUGUUGAAUUUUCUUCUCUGAAGCCAUAUGUGUGUCUGCUUGAAUGCUGAUCACAAUUUUUCUUUCAUUUUGAGCUUUGGUAUGUAUUUGAGCUAAUGCUUCUGGUGACAUCUGGAUCCUGACUUACAGUUGCAGUUCCUUACAAAACUUAAAGGAUUAGAAUCUGGUUACUAAGCGUGUAGGCACAGAAAUAAUCAAAUUGAAAUACCGCACCAAAACUGGAGUUGUCCUCUUACAAUGGAUCUCGUCACAUGUUGGUAUGCCUGGUAAUGAAGUCGCAGAUAGCCUGGCUAAAAGGGGCACCAUCUGACUACCUCAUUAUCUAUCAAGAUAUUUUCUCUCUGAAGAAAAACUUCAAUAGGCAACUAAGGUUAAAACCUCCUGUUCGCCACUGGUUUGACAGAAAAAAACCCUGGUGGUUCUCUAGAGUUCAAGGGUCAGUUUCAUAAUCCAUCAAUGCCCAUUUAAAAUAGAAUUAAGGCUCAAAAUCUUCUCAACAUGUAGCAAGUAAAAAUUGAAACCUGCUUCCCUGUCACACAUCAUUGAUUGUCUGGAAUUUUCCUUUGAGGACAUUCUCUUUUGACCAAUUUUGGUCUGUGACUUUGCCAAAGAGUUUGGACUCAUGGGUUUGAUAUAGCUGAGGCUAUAUUGUGAAAGAUUAGAAACAACAGCAAAACUUCUCAUGAAUGUUGCUAAAUGCAAAUUGGGGGGAAAACUUUUUAUAUCCAGUGCUUAGUUAUAUAUAUAUCCCUAUUAAAAGUCUGGCAUAAAUUAUCUCAGAAAUCUAAAUUUAUAGUGGCCCAUUGGUUUU